AUUGAACGCUGGCGGCAGGCCUAACACAUGCAAGUCGAGCGGAUGAGUGGAGCUUGCUCCAUGAUUCAGCGGCGGACGGGUGAGUAAUGCCUAGGAAUCUGCCUGGUAGUGGGGGACAACGUUUCGAAAGGAACGCUAAUACCGCAUACGUCCUACGGGAGAAAGUGGGGGAUCUUCGGACCUCACGCUAUCAGAUGAGCCUAGGUCGGAUUAGCUAGUUGGUGAGGUAAGGGCUCACCAAGGCGACGAUCCGUAACUGGUCUGAGAGGAUGAUCAGUCACACUGGAACUGAGACACGGUCCAGACUCCUACGGGAAGCAGCAGUGGGGAAUAUUGGACAAUGGGCGAAAGCCUGAUCCAGCCAUGCCGCGUGUGUGAAGAAGGUCUUCGGAUUGUAAAGCACUUUAAGUUGGGAGGAAGGGCAGUAAGUUAAUACCUUGCUGUUUUGACGUUACCAACAGAAUAAGCACCGGCUAACUCCGUGCCAGCCGCCGCAGUAAAAC
rnacentral:rRNA from 1 species